AACGAACGCUGGCGGCAGGCUUAACACAUGCAAGUCGAACGGGUGUAGCAAUACAUCAGUGGCAGACGGGUGAGUAACACGUGGGAACCUUCCUAGGGGUACGGAACAACUCAGGGAAACUUGAGCUAAUACCGUAUACGUCCGUAAGGAGAAAGAUUCAUCGCCCCUAGACGGGCCCGCGUCGGAUUAGGUAGUUGGUGGGGUAACGGCCUACCAAGCCUACGAUCCGUAGCUGAUCUGAGAGGAUGAUCAGCCACACUGGGACUGAGACACGGCCCAGACUCCUACGGGAGGCAGCAGUGGGGAAUCUUGGACAAUGGGCGCAAGCCUGAUCCAGCCAUGCCGCGUGAGUGAAGAAGGCCUUAGGGUUGUAAAGCUCUUUUACCAGGGACGAUAAUGACGGUACCUGGAGAAUAAGCCCCGGCAAACUUCGU
rnacentral:rRNA from 1 species